CUCAGCGCCGGCCUUGGCUCGCCAGGCGGCUCGGAGCGGAGCGCGGAGCUGUGCCCUGAGCGCGGUGCCGCCCGGCGCGGCCGUGCGGGGCCUUCGGGGCGCUGCGGGGAAGGAGCUGUCUGGAAAGAAUGUGCGGACAUAAAUCUCCGCAGCGUGAGAUAAAGCAUCAGACGCGGUUUAGUGUUUUGUAGGAAGAGGAUUUCCUUGCGGUUUCUCGCAAGAGGUGUCAGGGGCAUCGCUUGAUGGGCAGCGUGGCUGUAGGGGCUCGGCUUUGUUUUCUGCCCUGCCGACUACAGCUCCUGUGCAAGCGCCGGCAGCUCUGGUUUUACAGUGAAGGAACAAAAAGCCAUGAUCCUUUAUACCAAAGGAAAGAAAUUGCACUGAAUGGCUUUUUCUGCAUAUCCAGAUAACUUUGGGUGUUCUGGCAAUGCCCACAAAGAUGAAGGAGCAGAAUAAAAUUUGUAAUGCGACAGUCAGCAGCCCAGGUGGAGAGCUGUGUACUCUCUUGGCAAAGGAUGUUUGCAGAGCAGUGCAUGGAAGUGGAUGCUCGGCUGUGUCCUGGUAUUGGUGGCACAGGAUGAACUACAUUGGGUGCAUUACUUCAGGAUUAGGAAGGAGACUUUUAGGGGUAUUGGAAAAGGAAGUAGAACAGCUGCUGUAAAGCCAUGCAAGAGAUGUGAUGCUUGUGAACAGUUGUGAAAAAAAAAUUUAGAUUUAUGAAUGGAAAGCCUUAUACAAAUAAAAUGUAAACAGUU